rnacentral:tRNA from 1 species
GGAGCGGUGGCUGAGAGGCUGAAGGCACGGGUUUGCUAAACCCGCGAAUGGGCGCAAGCCCUUCCGAGGGUUCGAAUCCCUCCCGCUCCGCCA